rnacentral:rRNA from 1 species
UUAAGCGACUAAGCGUACACGGUGGAUGCCCUGGCAGUCAGAGGCGAUGAAGGACGUGCUAAUCUGCGAAAAGCGUCGGUAAGGUGAUAUGAACCGUUAUAACCGGCGAUGUCCGAAUGGGGAAACCCAGUGCAAUUCGUUGCACUAUCGUUAACUGAAUACAUAGGUUAACGAGGCGAACCGGGGGAACUGAAACAUCUAAGUACCCCGAGGAAAAGAAAUCAACCGAGAUUCCCCCAGUAGCGGCGAGCGAACGGGGAGCAGCCCAGAGUCUGAAUCAGCUUGUGUGUUAGUGGAACGGUCUGGAAAGUCCGACGGUACAGGGUGAUAGUCCCGUACACCAAAAUGCACAGGCUGUGAACUCGAAGAGUAGGGCGGGACACGUGGUAUCCUGUCUGAAUAUGGGGGGACCAUCCUCCAAGGCUAAAUACUCCUGACUGACCGAUAGUGAACCAGUACCGUGAGGGAAAGGCGAAAAGAACCCCGGCGAGGGGAGUGAAAAAGAACCUGAAACCGUGUACGUACAAGCAGUGGGAGCACCUUCGGGUGUGACUGCGUACCUUUUGUAUAAUGGGUCAGCGACUUAUAUUCUGUAGCAAGGUUAACCGUAUAGGGGAGCCGCAGGGAAACCGAGUCUUAACUGGGCGUUAAGUUGCAGGGUAUAGACCCGAAACCCGGUGAUCUAGCCAUGGGCAGGUUGAAGGUUGGGUAACACUAACUGGAGGACCGAACCGACUAAUGUUGAAAAAUUAGCGGAUGACUUGUGGCUGGGGGUGAAAGGCCAAUCAAACCGGGAGAUAGCUGGUUCUCCCCGAAAGCUAUUUAGGUAGCGCCUCGUGAAUUCAUCUUCGGGGGUAGAGCACUGUUUCGGCUAGGGGGUCAUCCCGACUUACCAACCCGAUGCAAACUACGAAUACCGAAGAAUGUUAUCACGGGAGACACACGGCGGGUGCUAACGUCCGUCGUGAAGAGGGAAACAACCCAGACCGCCAGCUAAGGUCCCAAAGUCAUGGUUAAGUGGGAAACGAUGUGGGAAGGCACAGACAGCCAGGAUGUUGGCUUAGAAGCAGCCAUCAUUUAAAGAAAGCGUAAUAGCUCACUGGUCGAGUCGGCCUGCGCGGAAGAUGUAACGGGGCUAAACCAUGCACCGAAGCUGCGGCAGCGACACUAUGUGUUGUUGGGUAGGGGAGCGUUCUGUAAGCCUGCGAAGGUGACCUGUGAGGGUUGCUGGAGGUAUCAGAAGUGCGAAUGCUGACAUAAGUAACGAUAAAGCGGGUGAAAAGCCCGCUCGCCGGAAGACCAAGGGUUCCUGUCCAACGUUAAUCGGGGCAGGGUGAGUCGACCCCUAAGGCGAGGCCGAAAGGCGUAGUCGAUGGGAAACAGGUUAAUAUUCCUGUACUUGGUGUUACUGCGAAGGGGGGACGGAGAAGGCUAUGUUAGCCGGGCGACGGUUGUCCCGGUUUAAGCAUGUAGGCUGAUUGUCCAGGCAAAUCCGGAUAAUCAAGGCUGAGGUGUGAUGACGAGGCACUACGGUGCUGAAGUAACAAAUGCCCUGCUUCCAGGAAAAGCCUCUAAGCAUCAGGUAACAUUAAAUCGUACCCCAAACCGACACAGGUGGUCAGGUAGAGAAUACCAAGGCGCUUGAGAGAACUCGGGUGAAGGAACUAGGCAAAAUGGUGCCGUAACUUCGGGAGAAGGCACGCUGGUGUGUAGGUGAAGCCCCUGCGGGUGGAGCUGAGACCAGUCGAAGAUACCAGCUGGCUGCAACUGUUUAUUAAAAACACAGCACUGUGCAAACACGAAAGUGGACGUAUACGGUGUGACGCCUGCCCGGUGCCGGAAGGUUAAUUGAUGGGGUUAUCCGUAAGGAGAAGCUCUUGAUCGAAGCCCCGGUAAACGGCGGCCGUAACUAUAACGGUCCUAAGGUAGCGAAAUUCCUUGUCGGGUAAGUUCCGACCUGCACGAAUGGCGUAAUGAUGGCCAGGCUGUCUCCACCCGAGACUCAGUGAAAUUGAACUCGCUGUGAAGAUGCAGUGUACCCGCGGCAAGACGGAAAGACCCCGUGAACCUUUACUAUAGCUUGACACUGAACAUUGAGCCUUGAUGUGUAGGAUAGGUGGGAGGCUUUGAAGCGUGGACGCCAGUCUGCGUGGAGCCAACCUUGAAAUACCACCCUUUAAUGUUUGAUGUUCUAACGUUGGCCCCUUAUCGGGGUUGCGGACAGUGUCUGGUGGGUAGUUUGACUGGGGCGGUCUCCUCCCAAAGCGUAACGGAGGAGCACGAAGGUUAGCUAAUCCUGGUCGGACAUCAGGAGGUUAGUGCAAUGGCAUAAGCUAGCUUGACUGCGAGCGUGACGGCGCGAGCAGGUGCGAAAGCAGGUCAUAGUGAUCCGGUGGUUCUGAAUGGAAGGGCCAUCGCUCAACGGAUAAAAGGUACUCCGGGGAUAACAGGCUGAUACCGCCCAAGAGUUCAUAUCGACGGCGGUGUUUGGCACCUCGAUGUCGGCUCAUCACAUCCUGGGGCUGAAGUAGGUCCCAAGGGUAUGGCUGUUCGCCAUUUAAAGUGGUACGCGAGCUGGGUUUAGAACGUCGUGAGACAGUUCGGUCCCUAUCUGCCGUGGGCGCUGGAGAAUUGAGGGGGGCUGCUCCUAGUACGAGAGGACCGGAGUGGACGCAUCACUGGUGUUCGGGUUGUCAUGCCAAUGGCACUGCCCGGUAGCUAAAUGCGGAAGAGAUAAGUGCUGAAAGCAUCUAAGCACGAAACUUGCCCCGAGAUGAGUUCUCCCUGAGACUUUAAGUCUCCUGAAGGAACGUUAAAGACGAUGACGUUGAUAGGCCGGGUGUGUAAGCGCAGCGAUGCGUUGAGCUAACCGGUACUAAUGAACCGUGAGGCUUAACCUU